rnacentral:rRNA from 1 species
CGUGAGAAUCUGCCAAAAGGACUGGGACAACAGCUGGAAACGGCCGCUAAUACCGGAUAUGCCAGAAAGUGAAAUGGGUAAAACCGCCUUUUGAUGAGCUCGCGUCCGAUUAGCUAGUUGGUGGGGUAAAAGCCUACCAAGGCGACGAUCGGUAACUGGUCUGAGAGGAUGACCAGUCACACUGGGACUGAGACACGGCCCAGACUCCUACGGGAGGCAGCAGUGGGGAAUUUUCCGCAAUGGGCGAAAGCCUGACGGAGCAAUACCGCGUGAGGGAGGAAGGCUCUUGGGUUGUAAACCUCUUUUCUCAGGGAAGAACACAAUGACGGUACCUGAGGAAUCAGCAUCGGCUAACUCCGUGCCAGCAGCCGCGGUAAUACGGAGGAUGCAAGCGUUAUCCGGAAUGAUUGGGCGUAAAGCGUCCGCAGGUGGCUUUGCAAGUCUGCUGUCAAAGCUCAGGGCUUAACCCUGAAUCGGCGGUGGAAACUGAAAGGCUAGAGUGUGGUAGGGGCAGAGGGAAUUCCCAGUGUAGCGGUGAAAUGCGUAGAGAUUGGGAAGAACACCAGUGGCGAAAGCGCUCUGCUAGACCGCAACUGACACUCAUGGACGA